AACAUUGAUCUGUUAUUACAAAUUGAUUCUAAGAGCUCUCUUUAUUUAUUUCAGAUAUAUGAACAAAGAAUUUAAUAAGGAAUUUUCCAAGAAUAUCUACAUAAAUGUUGCAAGAUUAACGGACUCGGGAACUCCGAUCGAUUCUAAGAACUGCCAAAUCUGCAGGGCUCAAGGACAAAAACAAAUCAAUUAUUAGAUGCAAAUAAAUGCAACUGGAAAAUACUUCAAUCCAUUUUGAUUCUGUAAGGAUAUCGCCGAGCUAAGGCUAUCUUCUCUCCUUAGAGUGCUCAUCUCUUUUAUGGCUAGUUUUACUCGAAUAUGCAUUUAUCCUGGCAGAUUGAAGGCUUAAAGGAGUCGAAUCGUUGUUAAGGACCUUUACGACUUUAACCAAGUCAGCGAAAUCUACUGCGCCCAAGGACAACAAAUUAAUAUUGUUAGAUGACCGCAUAUUAUUUUAAUCAAUGCAGAUCAAUCCAGCUGGAAAAUACCCAAAUACACAUUUCGAUUUUAUUGAAGGCUUAAAGGUGUCGAAUCGUUGUUAAGGACCUCUACGACACCAACAAAGUCAGGCAAAUCAGCUGCACACAAGGACAACGAAUGUGUAGAUAUAUUCUUAGAUGACCGCAAAAAGUUUAGUUGCAGAUCGAUGCAGCUGAUUGAAGGAUUUAUGGACUCCAAUGGAUUCUAAGGACCUCUACAGCUCCAACAAGGAUAUCCCGACAAGGAUCGGAAGGAUAUUUAGCCAAAUAUAGCUAUUUUAAGUAAAAAUAAGAAAUUCAUUAAGAA